rnacentral:lncRNA from 1 species
GAUCGACCGAGCCUUUGUUUGUGUUAGGAUGAGGUUCUCCUCUUAUUCUCGAUAGUCAGUUUCAGCUCAUGUUAGGACAAGGUUCUCCUUUUGUUCCUAACAGGAUUGUGGGAACACGCGAGGGCCGCUACUAGGGCCUCUCCCCCCAUCCGAUCUUUAAGUAAUUGGACCUUUGACUUUGCUUAUGUUGGGACGAGGUUCUCCUCCUGUUCCUAACAAAGCUGUGGGGGUGCAUAAGGGCCGUUGCAAGGGCCUCUCCCCCCUUCCGGUCUUUAAGAAAUCGGGCCUUCAUCUUUGCUCAUGUUAAGAUA